GACGUCAUGAUUUAUUUAAAUUCAAUGGUCUCAUUAUGGGUUUGAGCUAUAUAUUUCGUGAUAUGAAUUAUUAGAUCAUAUUUUGUAUAGCUUUUGAAGCAGUUACCUCUAGCAUAAGCAUGGAUCACGAAAUAGACUUCAUACUCUAAGAGUUGUACAAAAUGCAAUUUAAUGAUUUACACUAUAAAGAAAUAUCGAUCAUCAUUCUUUCGUGCAAAAGAUACAACCCCCACCUGCUCAUUAUAACCUUAUAAGCGGUUCAAUGUGGUUGGAAUUAGUAACAAGU
rnacentral:lncRNA from 1 species